rnacentral:rRNA from 1 species
AGCGAACGCUGGCGGCAGGCCUAACACAUGCAAGUCGAACGAACUCUUCGGAGUUAGUGGCGGACGGGUGAGUAACACGUGGGAACGUGCCUUUUGGUUUGGAUUAACUCAGGGGAACUUGUGCUAAUACCGAAUGUGCUCUUCGGGGGAAAGGUUUGUCGCCAUUAGAGCGGCCUGCGUCUGAUUAGCUAGUUGGUGAGGUAAGGGGUCACCAAGGGGACGAGCGGUAGAUGGUCAGAGAGGCUGACCUGCCACACUGGGCCUGGGACACGGCCCAGACUCCUGCGGGAGGCAGCAGUGGGGAAUCUUGCGCAAUGGGCGGAAGCCUGACGCAGCCAUGCCGCGUGAAUGAUGAAGGUCUUAGGAUUGUAAAAUUCUUUCACCCGGGACGAUAAUGACGGUACCAAGAGAAGAAGCCCCGGCUAACUUCGUG